rnacentral:snRNA from 1 species
UUACUUACCUGGAUGGGGUCAAUGGCAGAUCAAAAAAUGCCAUGGCCUAGGUUAGUGGCCUCCAUUGCACUUGGGAGGAUCGCUAGACUACCAUCUUCUCAAGCAGGAGAGUGGACAUCAUAAUUUGUGGCAGAGGGGGUACGCGUUCGCGGGGCUCCUA